rnacentral:rRNA from 1 species
UACGAAGGGGGCUAGCGUUGUUCGGAAUCACUGGGCGUAAAGCGCACGUAGGCGGAUCUUUAAGUCAGAGGUGAAAUCCCAAGGCUCAACCUUGGAACUGCCUUUGAUACUGGGGAUCUUGAGUCCGGGAGAGGUGAGUGGAACUGCGAGUGUAGAGGUGAAAUUCGUAGAUAUUCGCAAGAACACCAGUGGCGAAGGCGGCUCACUGGCCUGGUACUGACGCUGAGGUGCGAAAGCGUGGGGAGCAAACAGG